rnacentral:rRNA from 1 species
AACCUCCGCAAUGUGAGAAAUCGCGACGGGGGGAUCCCAAGUGCCAUUCUUAACGGGAUGGCUUUUCAUUAGUGUAAAGAGCUUUUGGAAUAAGAGCUGGGCAAGACCGGUGCCAGCCGCCGCGGUAACACCGGCAGCUCUAGUGGUAACAAUUUUUAUUGGGCCUAAAGCGUCCGUAGCCGGUUUAAUAAGUCUCUGGUGAAAUCCUGCAGCUUAACUGUGGGAAUUGCUGGAGAUACUAUUAGACUUGAGACCGGGAGAGGUUAGAGGUACUCCCAGGGUAGAGGUGAAAUUCUGUAAUCCUGGGAGGACCGCCUGUUGCGAAGGCGUCUAACUGGAACGGUUCUGACGGUGAGGGACGAAAGUUAGGGGCGCGAACCGGAUUAGAUACCCGGGUAGUCCUAACUGUAAACGAUGCGGACUUGGUGUUGGGGUGGCUUUGAGCUGCUCCAGUGCCGAAGGGAAGCUGUAAGUCCGCCGCCUGGGAAGUACGGUCGCAAGACUGAAACUUAAAGGAAUU